rnacentral:lncRNA from 1 species
AGUGCGACUGAGGACGUAGGGGAGGCUCAGAGCGGAAAAGUACUGAAUACUGCGUCAGAGUGGAGGAGAAUGCCUUCAAGUCCGGCACCCCCAUAAAGGAGUCUCAGUAGAUGCACCUGAGAAAGGCCUUAGCUGAAAGCCUUUGGAAAAAUGACCUCUGAAUUGAGGCACCUGAGCAAGGCAGUGUAUAUUGCAGAAGAGCAUAGCGGGCCAGUGUGGCCUGAGUCCCUGACUGCAACUCCGUCCUGAGACGGCAGCGUGUUGGCUGUGCCCCAGCUCAGUGUAGCGAGGACAGCUUUCUGCUCCUGAGGCCUGCUAGAUUUGGCAAUUAUGAAUAAAGCUGCUGUAAACAUUCGUGUGCAGGUUUCUAUGUGGACAUUAGUUUCAACUCCUUUCGGUAAAAAUCAAGGAGUGUGACUGCUGGAUCAUAUGGUAAGAGAGGUGGUAAAUGCCUAUCAGCCUGAGCCAUUGGGUGACCAUGUAGAUCAGACCAUCACUGGACAACUAGGGAGAGUACUUGUCAAACCAUCAGUGGACAUGUAGGACUCUGCUUGUUCAGAAAUUCUCCAGCAUGGCUGCAUCAAUGUAACAAAGCAUACCCUUUGUGCUAACCUCUGGUUGCUCAGCACUCUUGCAGGAAAAAAGCUAUCAGGAAGAAUACCUUUCAGUGCACAUUGGUGGUAUCCAGUCAUCAACAUACCCUCAAUAUUACUGAUUAUUUUUAUUUUAAUAAUUAUUAUUUUAUUAUUAGCAAAUAAAUAAUGAUAUUCAUUACUUUACAAGAGAGAGUUUCUUCUCCAUUCUUCUCAACAGUUAUUCCAAAUGUUUCUGGAAGUCCUCUGCAUUUCCUCAAGUCCUCUGCAGCUUCCUGCCAUCAUCUCUCUCAAAUGGUCAAGUGGCAUUGCUACCUUUUUUAUAGAGGAAGCAGAGAUUAUGCGACAAGAACACACAUCAUCUCCCAAAUCCACCUGCACAUUUACCUGCAAUUGCCCCUCUUCUUAAACAGCUGUCUUACAGGGAGAGCUAACCUUCCUAUUUACCCGCAUAAAUAAUUCUCCAUGCUUGUCUGUAGUCUCAACCAGGCAAGUCAGCAACUUACAGGUUCAGCACUAAAAUAUCUCGGGCAUUGUUGACUAAAUUUUGUUCCAAUAGAUUCACAUCUCAAUUUUUUAUGUUGCUCUAGGUUUCCAAUCUCAUUUCGAUGAAGAUUUAUUUAGGAAAAGAUUAAAAUAACCAUGUUUUUAAUCAUCCUCCU